UUGUUCAUCAGUGGCUGUAAA
rnacentral:piRNA from 1 species